GGAGAGGUGGCCGAGUGGCUGAAGGCGCUCCCCUGCUAAGGGAGUAUGGGUUAACAGCCCAUCGAGGGUUCGAAUCCCUCCCUCUCCGCCA
rnacentral:tRNA from 1 species